ensembl:lncRNA
GACACGGCGACCGGCCCGCGGUGGGCAAGACCGGGGACCCGACCCGCGCUCGGGCGAGCGCACCGGAGCGGGGGGCCGCGGCGGGGCGGGGGAGGGGGGAGAUCACGGGAGCUCCCCCUCGUCCAGCACGCGACGGCGGCGACGGACAGGCGGCGGCGAAACGGGCAACGGAUCGGGACCGCGGCGGGCCCGGAAGCGAGACACACCAGGGCGCGGCCCCGGGAGGCAGCAGACGGCGAGCGGACUGAGGCGGACGGACAGACGGAGAGGAGCACCGACGGGGUGCGGCCACGCGAGGGGCAUGGCUCAAAGCGACCCGUGCUGGGGCAGGGGGAAGCGCGAGUCGGCCGCCAGGGCCCACCGCGGGAUCUCACCGCCGGAGGCCUCCCAGCACAGGGACGGUCCCACCGCACGCCCGGGACGACGGACUGGCGCCCUCCCCCCCCGGCACCCUCACGGGGGCUCACGCCCACCGCCACCGACACACACCCGAGAGCCGCAAGCCGGCCAGGGAGAACGCUCUCCCGCCGCGCACCGGCGGCCCCCACGUCCCCCACACGCGCAAGGCUCCCCGCGCGCCGCCCCGCCUCGGGGACGCCACCGGCCGACGGAGGCCGGGGGAACGACACCCACAUGAGGCGAGGCCGGCUCGGCCCCAGACAGGGGAAGGGAGCGCGGGGCGGUCGCACGCGCGGGACGAGGAGGAGAGGCCGGCAGCGGCGGGGAGGGGCCGGCAAGCACGCACGGCGGGGGCCGCGGGACAGGGCCGCGGGCGCCAUCCGGGGACCACAAAGACACCGGGAACACGGCCGGGCCACCAGGAAAACCAGCGCGGGGUCCCACCGCCACCCACACACGAGGGCGGUCCCGCGACACGCCUGGGACGCCGACCGGUCCCGGCCAGCCCCAGAGCGGGCCCCCACGACCCGGCCCCGCCGCCAGGGCCGGCGAGCCGCCCAAACCCAUCUUCCGCCACCCGUCCUCGACAGAUCCGUCUUCCGAUCCAAGUCUGCCACCCCGAGGCUCGACAUCCUGGGGAUCACGCUCUCGAGCGAGGCGGCCCCGACCGUGACCGCACGCCGCCACCGGCUGCGGCUCGUGGGGAGAGGGCGGGCGCGAUAGGCUCUCCCGCACCACGGCUGCGGGGCUGGGGAAGCCGGGGCCGACCGGACGUCGCGCCCCCAACACCUUCCCCCCCUUUGCCCCAAGGCUCACCACACCGCGGGGGCCGACCGCGCGCACACGCGGCGCACGCACGCUCCGGUCCCCCCCCACCUGCCGGACGCCCGGCGGGGCCCAGCGGGACCCUCCCCCAACUCGAAGGGGGGAGGCGCGGGCCGCGGUAGGCAACGAGCGGCACACGGCCCCACCGCGGGGCCGGCGCACCCGCCCCCCACCGCCCCCAGAGGGGAGGUGCGGGGCGGGGUGUUCUGCCCACGCGCUCUUGGCAGCCGCCACGGCGGCCACUGCGCACUCAGGAGGGGCAGCAGCUGGGGGGUCCGAUACCCCAAGGCUCCCUCUCGGAUCGCUAGAGAAGGCUUUCUCACCGAGGGCUCGCCGCCCCUCACCCGGAUCGUCUCUCUCCUUCGGGCCCACGGAGGCGCUCCACGAGCCACCAGUCCUCAGCUGGGGUGGGAGGGGUCUGCGGUACAGGUAGGCGGAGCACCAACACAGGAGCGUCUGCGCGGCCGGGGCCAGCGCCGAGCCCGCGUCCCGUCCCCUGCAAGGCCUCGACGACCCGUCAGCCUCGACGACGAGGGGAACAGGCACGCCUCUCCUACCGCCUCGACCCCCCCCCAAAAGAGCCCACUCACGGGACACACACACACACCACCGCGGUGGGGACCCGAGGAGGACACCGGGGUUAAGGGAAACGACACCACCGCUCGGCCUCAGGCACCUGAGCGACGACCUGGAGCGCUCCAGGGGCACCACCGAGGGUCCAACGAGGCACGCUCGCGCACCCGCGCGGGGGGGGCGCAGCGCAGCAGCGGUACAGCCCUCCCCACCGCGGGGAGGGCCGCUCGCGGAGCACACGCCGGGAAGGCGAAGCGAGAGCAUCUGCUGUGUCAGAAGACCCACGGCCCCCACUGACGCCACCCGAGGCGGGGGACAGGAGACCGAAGGUCAGGGCCAGAGGCCGCAACCCAGCCCCCGCCUUCCUCCCCCUCCCCGACGGCCAGGGGGGAAAAGUCAGGCGAGGGGCCCCGCGGACAGACCGAGAAGAGCAGACACGUUCCCCGGGAACACCUGUCCCUCGUCUGGCACGGCUUAGGCCCGGCCCGGGAGAGCACGACCACACCACAUCGAUCGGAUGAGCCAAGGUGGAGCAGGGGGAAGGCACGGCGAGGACAGUCACCAGAGGGGCCCGCUUUAAGCCUCACCGGCAACCUCCGCCCCCCACCUCGCCUCAGGCGAGAGCGGCCCACGACCCCAGGAGGUUCGAGAACGCCUGACACGUGGCACGGAGCCCACAGGGCGGGGGUCGCAUCUCAGCCUUCACCGGGUGCCCGCAGCGGGGAGCGCACAGGGUAGAAGACCCACGGCGCCUCGCCCCGCCGCCCUCGGGUCGCCCAGAGACCGGAGGUGGCACCACGAGUCGGGUCAGCCAGACAACACCACACAGGAGCCGGCGCACAGGCCCAGGCGGGCGGCUCCAGCGGCAAGGGCCGAACCGGGGACCAGAGCUGGCGGCCCGAAGGCCCAGAGCCCCGCGUACAUCCAGAGACCCAAAGUUUCCUCGGUGGCAGACACCGAAGCAGACCGUGUCAGCACUUACCUGGUGGUAAAAAAGGCCCAUUAAGGGCGACGAAAUGACAGCAGCCGACAGCGGGGCCCAUCCACGACUCGCAUGGAGGACCCCCGGAACCUUGGCCCGGCCACCUGUCCCCAGCGCUACCCCAUAAAC